rnacentral:lncRNA from 1 species
UGUAAAGCUCGAGGCCUCUUGGAUGAUCAACCAACCAAGUUAUACGUGCCAACAAAUGGACGCCCCAGACUACAUCCUCCCCUCCCAUCAGCCUACCUGGGCAAUGUGACAUUUAUGGCUUCAUCAAUUUCUGUGUCUGGAAAUCUCCAAUCAGAACCAUUUAUGAACACCAUAGAGCGAAUUCAUGGAACAUUGAAAAGGGUGGACAAUGAAUAUCUAAGAUCAGCUCUUGACUACCUAGAAAAACUGCCAGAUGUAACUACUGCCAGGAGAGAAGCACACACUGCCCAGUGCCCAAAUCUAAGUAUCAUCAAUUGGAUGCGACUCCCUGUACAUGAUGCAAAUUUUGGGUGGGGUCGGCCCAUAUACAUGGGCCCGGCAAAUGUCGUCCAUGAAGGAAAAAUAUACCUACUGCCAAGUCCAACUGAUGAUGGGAGCCUGUCAUUGGUAGCAUGCCUAGAAACCUCUCAUAUGAAACCUUUUCAGAAGCAUCUUUACGAAGGCUUAAUGUCAUUUGACAAAAUAAGGGCUCGAUAUUAGUUGUUUGUUCUCUCUAUCAGUAUGCAACAUAUAAAGAUGUUUCUUUUUUUUUUUCGUGAACUAACUUUUUUUGUUUGAAUCCUAUUUAUUCGAAUUCGGUGCAUAGGGCAUAGGCUAUUAUAAGAACCGACUCUAGCUAUGUCAACAAAUAAGAAGAGUAGAAGAUUAAACUAAACCUAGAAUGAAGAUAGAGAUUAUAUUCUGGAUAAUCAUCAAGAAAGAGGCGAGUAGCUAAGCCUUAAUACGAAACUUCUAUCUUACCUGUGAAAUCAAAUUGCUGGAACAAGAAGAACAGUGGAUAUGAGUCUUGCAUUCUUGCUCUAGUCAUUUCGUAUCUACUUGAGCCUAAUUUUCUCACAUAGCAGCAGCAACUUUGGUCAUCUUAAGAUUGAUUGUAACUGCAUUUUAGACACUAUGAGUAAGUUUUGAGAACACUGUGAAAACUCAAUGCUCUGAAGGGAAAUUUGGAGAAUUUCCAAGAACAAGGAACUAAAACUCAGAGGUUUACCUGUCUAGCACGUGAUAUGGAGAAGAAGCAUAUUGACAACUUCCAUUUUCCAGGCUCUGCAAAGUUCCCACCCGACUCUUGCAUCUAUGGAAGUCCAAGGAAAACAAAAACUCCAAACAUGCCCUUAAGACAUCCAAAGAUAACUCUAUCAUGCGACUCAAGUCCAAGGAAAAACAGUCCCACAUUUCUAAUGGCAGCUUAUGACACAUACAAAAUACCCCACUAUCUAACACUCUCAACUGAUAAAUUAGAACAACAAAAAUGUUCAGACAGAAAUUGAUUAUGAGGUACUAAUCUCUGCCAUAUCCUCGUUGGUGGUACGCUUGGAGACAUCCCAUAUGAAACAGUUUGAGAAGUGUCUUUCUGAUUUCUUACUGCCAUUUGCAAAAAUAAAUGCUCGUUGUUAAUUUGUUUUCCCUAGUAUUAUGUAACUUUGAGAAGCUCCUUUAUAUGAUUUCUGUAUUAGUAUUAGCUUUAAUCAAAAAUAGCAGACUCCAACACUGCUACACACACAAGAUAUCUGCACUCAGAAUGUCUUUUUGAUUCUUUUUUGUUCAAAACAUAUACACUUACUAAGCAUAAACAGUGGAGUUUUUUACUGUUCCGUACAUUUUCGCUAGGUCACUACUUUUAACUGUUGAGGAAUCUGUACUGGAGUUAGAGUUCUUGAUGUUCUGUCAGAUGGGACAUCCACAUUUUACUUCAUCGACAGCUGGUGUGGAACAGUUUCCAGAAGCUUUUUUAUGAAGAGUUGAUGUCAAUUGACAAAAUAAAGGCUCGUUAUUAGUUGUUGUUCUCUCUAUCAACCUGGAACAUAAUUAAAUCUGUUUCUUUUGCUUCAAUCCUAGUUAAAGAAAUACACAAGUAGAAGCUCUGAUGUUAGUAAGGAAAACACAGGGAGAUAGCCCUAUACUCCUGUUUCUUUGUUCCUAUCUUGAGGAGGACAAGCAUUUGGGACAAUCAUCAGGGACGAUUCCAACCAAUUUUCCAUUAGAUCAUUAUAGGACAGAUUGGGACAAUUCCUCCUCCCUAACAUCAUUUUGCAUGAGAUGUUUUCUAGCUGGAAUAUCAACUUCUUUAAGCUUUGGGCAAAGAUAAGCUGUGUCUGUGUCAUUGAUGCAUCGCUGCUUAUUGAAUUUGACUUGGAAAAUUAAAGAGUCAAUAAUGGCUUCUAUGAUUAAGGUUUAAAAUGACAUGAUCAUGCCAUGCAUACAACCACCUACCUACUACAAAAGCAAGACGACAUACCAUUAAUCUAAUUAAUUUUGUAUUAAAUCCAAAAGCAGCCUGUUUAUGAGAAGAAACGUGGGGCUGAUAUGCUGAACCCAAAUCUAUCUUGCUUAAAAGAAAUCAUGGAGCGAACGAUUCACGAUUCUAAUGCUUUAUUUCCGUAGAGAAAGGACAAUCAUUGUCUAAGAAGAGAUCAUCAAGACAUACAAGUGUUUAAUAUUGUUUGUACCUAUCCAUUUCCCUCUUCUCUCUGCCACCGAUUACCUAUAGCUUUGUUAGUUGUAAAAUAUUCUUUAAUCUGAACCAUACACGUCCUUAUCAGGAGCAGCCGAACACGUUACGGCACAAUUAAGAUUCUGACUAAUUGAGCAGGUGGGACAACGAGAAGAUAAAGCCAAAAACUCAAGAGUAGGCGCACAUGCAUUUUCCUCGCCUCUGCCCACCGACAUUACCAUAUACCAACUAAGAAGAUUUUGAGCGCCUUUGCUUCUGGUAUACAAGGUAUGAGCGCUUACCUUCCCCUAAGAACUAGUUUCUGAAACAAUGGCGACCAUAGGCGGGUAAGAUCGGAAGGCAUAUUGCAGAGGAGAUUUUGGGGUUUCUGUCACCACUGCAGUCACUGAAGAGAUGGAGAUUACCGUAAAGGGAUCAAGCCUAGUACGCCCUGCUAAAGAAACGCCCAAAGAGAGCCACAAGGUCUCAAAUCUGGACAUGGUGAUGGCACCAUAUUAUGCCACCCAGGUGUACUUCUACAAACCAAAUGGUUCUUCAGAUUUCUUUAAAGGGCAAGUGCUUAAGGAGGCUUUAAGCAAGACUCUUGUGCCAUUUUACCCCAUGGCUGGGAGGUUGGGAAGUGAUGAAAAUGGUAGGUCCGAGAUAAUAUGCAACGCAGAGGGAGUUCUAUGGGUAGAAGCUGAAACUACUUGUGCUGUGGAUGACUUGGGAAAUUUUGCUCCUAGCUUAAAACUCCGGCAACUAGUUCCAACAGUUGAUUACUCGAAAGAUACCUUCUCUCACCCGCUGUUUAUUGGCCCAGGUAAGUAUUCACCAAACAAGAAUGAGAAACUGACACACUGUAAGUAUUUAAUUACUAGAUUUUUUUUCUUUGACAAUUAAGUAUUCAAUUACUAGAUAAAUAAUGUCAGUAAACCGAAAAAAGAUGAUGAUAGCAGUAGGAUAAUAUGAACUACUCUGAGGAAAGAAAAAAACAGAGAAAAGAGGGGGAGGGAAGUUGCUGUGAAGAAGAACAAGUUACUUCAUUCAUCAGUAAAUACAUAGUAAGUCAACAUGUCAAAGUCAAUGCAUGCUUUAACUCUAACAAAUAAGAGUUACAAGGAGAUCAUGGACAAGCCUUCAUUUAGUAUAUUUGUUUUAUGUUUAUGUCUGGUUUAGUUUUAUUUUAGUUUGCAGAACUCAUAGAAUCACCUCAUGAUUAAAAUCUUGCUUCAAGAUGUACUCCGAUUGAACAAUUCAUUACUACUAAUCCUUAAAGUUCAAACGUAGGAUAGGCAAAAAAAAUUACAGAAUAAGAUACAUUAAGGAUAGGCAAUGGAAACUGGAAAGCUUGAUUGUAUGUUUUUGCUAGGUAACUGUUUUCAAAUGCGGUGGAGUCUCUCUUGGAAUACGAAUUCACCACAAUUUUGUAGAUGGCACAACUUCCCUUCACCUCAUCAACAGUUGGUCCGAGAUAGCAAGAGGCUUGCCCCUAAUCAGCAGGGCGCCACUUAUUGACAGAACCCUUCUCCGAGCACGAGUGCCACCAACCCCUAAAUUUCAUCAUACUGAAUAUGAUCCACCUCCUCCCUUAAACACCUCAAUGUCAAUCUUCAAAUCUCACGCUAAUCCUAAACCCUUAUCUGUAUCUGUUUUUAAGAUCACACUCAAUCAACUUAAUACCCUAAAAGCCAUGUCAUUCAAGAAUGAAAAUUCAACUAAGUACAGCACCUACACUAUACUAGCUGCAUAUAUAUGGCGUUGUGCCUGUAAAGCUCGAGGCCUCUUGGAUGAUCAACCAACCAAGUUAUACAUGCCAACAAAUGGACGCCCCAGACUACAUCCUCCCCACCCAUCAGCCUACCUGGGCAAUGUGAUAUUUACGGCUUCAUCUAUUGCUCUGUCUGGAAAUCUCUAAUCAGAACCAUUUAUGAACACCAUAGAGCGAAUUCAUGGAGCAUUGAAAAGGAUGGACAAUGAAUAUCUAAGAUCAGCUCUUGACUACCUAGAAAAAGUGCCAGAUAUAACUGCUGCCUGGAGAGAAGUACACACUUUCCAGUGCCCAAAUCUAAGGAUCAACGAUUGGAUGCGAUUCCCUCUACAUGAUGCAAAUUUUGGGUGGGGUCGACCGAUAUACAUGGGCCCGGCAUAUGUCGUCCAUUAAGGAAAAAUAUAUAUACUGCCAAGUCCAACUGAUGAUGGGAGCCUGUCAUUGGUAGCAUGCCUAGAAACCUCUCACAUGAAACCUUUUCAGAAACAUCUUUACGAAGGCUUAAUGUCAUUUGACAAAAUAAAAGCUCGAUAUUAGUUGUUUGUUCUCUCUAUCAGUAUGCAACAUAUAAAGAUGUUUCUUCUUUUUUUUCAUGAACUAACUCUUUUUGUUUGAAUCGUAUUUAUUUGUAUUUGGUGUAUAGAGCAUAGCUAUUAUAAGAACCGACUCUAGCUAUGUCAACAAAUAAGAAGAGUAGAAGAUUAAAACUAAACCUACAAUGAAGAUAGAGAUUAUAUUCAGGAUGAUCAUUGAGAAAGAGGCGAGUAGCUAACCUUAAUACAAAACUUAUAUCUUAACUGUGAAAUCAAAUUGUUGGAACAAGAAGAAGAACGAAUAUGAGUCUUGCAUCCUUGCUCUAAUCAUUUCGUAUCUACUUGAGCCUA